GGAUGGAGGACCCCUUCACUCCCAUCUCUGCAGUAGCAGUCAGUCUGACCAUCUCCUCAUCUGAAAGAGGAGCUCUGAUCGCCAAACAAAAGAUGGCUACUGCUUAUUAAACAGCCCUGUACAUUCAUUAGCAUCCAGCUAGACCCAGACAGAGUGGUGGCCCUACACACGCACACACACUUACAAAGAGAGAGAGAGAGACUGGCCCCUCGGUCCCCCCUUUGGCCUUGACCCUUGAACUCUGGGGUCCUCUUUCACCUGCUGCAGAGACAUUCUGGGCUUGGUGUCCGUCUAGCCAGUGCCUGCCUGUUCUGCAUAUAUUUACUUGACGUUCCCAGGCUCCCAGUCCAGACCUCCAGGACCAGCCUGUUCACCCCCCUGUCCAUCUCUCCAUCACCAGCACAAAGCAGUAUUCAUAUAGGACAUUAUGGAGAUCCUCAUUGUGUCUCUGUGUCUGGCUGUCUGAGUUCUUUCCCUCACAAGCUCUGCACUCCCUAAAUCAUAUUUUACUAUCACUCCCUAAACCAUAUUUUACUAUCACUCCCUAAACCAUAUUUUAGAAUCACUCCCUAAACCAUAUUUUAGUAUCACUUCCUAAACCCACUUUAGUAUCACUCCCUAAAUCAUAUUUUACUAUCACUCCCUAAAUCAUAUUUUACUAUCACUCCCUAAACCAUAUUUUAGAAUCACUCCCUAAACCAUAUUUUAGUAUCACUUCCUAAACCCACUUUAGUAUCACUCCCUAAACCAUAUUUUAGUAUCACUCCCUAAACCACUUUAGUAUCACUUCCUAAACCCACUUUAGUAUCACUCCCUAAACCAUAUUUUAGUAUCACUCCCUAAACCAUAUUUUAUAUCACUCCCUAAACCAUAUUUUAGUAUCACUUCCUAAACCAUAUUUUAGUAUCACUUCCUAAACCAUAUUUUUGUAUCACUUCCUAAACCAUAUUUUAGUAUCACUUCCUAAACCAUAUUUUAGUAUCACUUCCUAAACCAUAUUUUAGUAUCACUUCCUAAACCAUAUUUUAGUAUCACUUCCUAAACCAUAUUUUAGUAUCACUCCCUAAACCAUAUUUUAGUAUCACUCCCUAAACCAUAUUUUAGUGUAACUCCCUAAACCAUAUUUUAGUAUCACUCUCUAAACCCUCUUUUAGUAUGGGCGAGCCCCCCAAACCCUGCCUUAAAUCAUUUGCACUUCGUAAUGAGCGAUCGCUAUGAAUUCCAUUGGCGAUAUCCUCACUAUACUCAGAUUAGUGUGCCACAAGACUACCCUGGUCUAUGACUGUAGAGCAAUCUCCCUUUGUCAUACCGAGAGACCAAAACCUCUAUCAGAACUCAUUUCUACGUCAUAUGUCCAGUAUUCACUGCUAAUACUGA
rnacentral:lncRNA from 1 species